GGCUCUGUGGCGCAACGGAUAGCGCGUUGGACUUCUAAUUCAAAGGUUGUGGGUUCGAGUCCCACCAGAGUCG
rnacentral:tRNA from 1 species